rnacentral:pre_miRNA from 1 species
ACAACAUUUAGACCGUCGCCGCGUCGGUCUACCGAGCAAUGUCACCCGCUCGGUGAAAGAUCAUCCCGCCGUUGU